CAGCAGACAUGAGGGCUCCCGCUCACCUCCUGGGGCUGCUGCUGCUCUGGAUCCCAGGUUCCAGAUGUGACAUUCAGAUGAUUCAGUCUCCAGCCUCCCUGUCUGCAUCUCUGGGAGACAGUAUCACCAUCACAUGCCAGGCCAGUCAAAGUAUUAGUAAUGGGCUAGCAUGGCAUCAGCAGAAACCAGGGAAGCCUCCUAAGCUCCUGAUCUAUAGUGCAAAGUACUUGGCAAAUGGGGUCCCAUCGAGGUUCAGUGGCAGUGGAUCUGGCACACAGUUUUCUCUCAAGAUCAGCAGCCUGCAGCCCGAAGAUGUGGCAACUUAUUACUGUCAGCAGGGUUGGAGUACCCCUCCCACAGUGAUUCAAGCCAUGACAAUAACCACUUGGGGAAGCAGAAGAGAGAGCCCAGACUGCCCCAAUCGCUGCUUCUGGUGCCUCCAGCUGCUGCGACUGUUUUUCUUUGCUCAGAAAUAA